rnacentral:rRNA from 1 species
GUAGGUGGCAAGCGUUGUCCGGAAUUAUUGGGCGUAAAGCGCGCGCAGGUGGUUCUUUAAGUCUGAUGUGAAAGCCCCCGGCUCAACCGGGGAGGGUCAUUGGAAACUGGGGAACUUGAGUGCAGGAGAGGAAAGUGGAAUUCCACGUGUAGCGGUGAGAUGCGUAGAUAUGUGGAGGAACACCAGUGGCGAAGGCGACUUUCUGGCCUGUAACUGACACUGAGGCGCGAAAGCGUGGGGAGCAAACAGGGAUUAGAUACCCUGGUAGUCCACGCCGUAAACGAUGAGUGCUAAGUGUUGGGGGGGUUUCCCGCCCCUCAGUGCUGCAGCUAACGCAUUAAGCACUCCGCCUGGGGAGUACGGUCGCAAGACUG